rnacentral:rRNA from 1 species
UACGUAGGUGGCAAGCGUUGUCCGGAUUUACUGGGCGUAAAGCGCGCGUAGGCGGCUUUUCAAGUCGAUUGUGAAAUCCCCGGGCUUAACCUGGGAACUGCAGUCGAGACUGUCUAGCUAGAGUAUGGGAGAGGGAAGUGGAAUUUCAGGUGUAGCGGUGAAAUGCGUAGAUAUCUGAAGGAACAUCAGUGGCGAAAGCGACUUCCUGGACCAAUACUGACGCUCAUGUGCGAAAGCGUGGGGAGCAAACAGG